rnacentral:rRNA from 1 species
AACGAACGCUGGCGGCAGGCUUAACACAUGCAAGUCGAACGCAUCGCAAGAUGAGUGGCAGACGGGUGAGUAACGCGUGGGAACAUACCCUUUUCUACGGAAUAGCUCUGGGAAACUGGAAUUAAUACCGUAUACGCCCUACGGGGGAAAGAUUUAUCGGGGAAGGAUUGGCCCUCGUUGGAUUAGCUAGUUGGUGGGGUAAAGGCCUACCAAGGCGACGAUCCAUACCUGGUCUGAGAGGAUGAACAGCCACAUUGGGACUGAGACAAGGCCCAAAUGCCUGCGGGUAGAAGCAUUGGGGAAUAUUGGACGAUGGGCGCAAGCAUGAUCCAGCCAUGCCGCGUGAUGGAUGAAGGCCUUAGGGUUGUAAAGCUCUUUCACCGAUGAAGAUAGUGACGGUAGUCGGAGAAGAAGCCCCGGCUAACUUCGUGCCAGCCGCCGCCGUAAGAC